GGGUUGAAUGAACUGUGCUUCAGGAAUGGUGAGACAGCAGCUAUUCAGCUGAGGCCUUGUAGCGUGUUUUACUAGACAAACACUGUAGAAUCCCCUUUAACAGUCUACUGGUGUAGUUGUGAGUUUUUACUGUCCUGCUGAAUGUUUCUCCUGCUUUCUCUCAACCACUGAACACAACCCAUGUUAUGGUCUGAAAGACUUUGUUUCCACCAGGAGGAAGAGGAGGAGCUGAUCUGUUCCUGAUCUCUAAAGAGACUCAAACUUCCUCCUUCAGUUCAGUUCAACUCUCCAACAUUAACUCUGCUCAACAUGGACUAUUAUGGUCUGUCUCUGCUCAUCAUCUCUCUGCUAACAGGUAUCAGCUGUGAUCAACUUACUCCUCAUGAGGAGGAACUCUUCAGUUUAGAAAGCAGCUUUGUUAAUCUGUCCUAUACAUUUUCAAGACGAGCUGCAAAUGAUUAUUUCUUCUGGUAUCGACAAUAUCCUGGAAAACCUCCAGACUUCCUGAUCUCCCACUCAGGAACAGGAGCUCCAAUGUCAACGCCGCUUCCUGGUUUCUCCUUCAAGAUGAAUGCUGAUAAAACCCAGAUGGAUCUGCUGAUCUCCUCUGCUGCAGUGACAGACUCUGCUGUGUACUACUGCGCUGUGAGGCCCACAGUGACAGGAAACACCAGAACCCUGUACAAAAACCUGCAGUACUCCACAGCAGCCACUAGAGGGCCUCACUCCCUGUUAAUCUACUGGUUGUUGAGUCUUUGGACUGAAGACAAAGACAACAGAGACAUGAAGCAGUAAAGAUCAGAGACAGAGCUGCUGAGGAAGCAGAAAACUCUCUGAUUGGUUGAGUUGAAGUGGCCCCGCCCACUGACCUUCAGCUCAUCCAAUGACAUAAUUUCUUCCUCCUUCUGCUGCAGUGGAAGAACAUUGUUGAUCUGCAGUGUGGCUCUAAGG